CCUACGGGUGGCAGCAGUGGGGAAUAUUGCACAAUGGGCGCAAGCCUGAUGCAGCCAUGCCGCGUGUGUGAAGAAGGCCUUCGGGUUGUAAAGCACUUUCAGCGGGGAGGAAGGCGUUAAGGUUAAUAACCUUGGCGAUUGACGUUACCCGCAGAAGCAGCACCGGCUAACUCCGUGCCAGCAGCCGCGGUAAUACGGAGGGUGCAAGCGUUAAUCGGAAUUACUGGGCGUAAAGCGCACGCAGGCGGUCUGUCAAGUCGGAUGUGAAAUCCCCGGGCUCAACCUGGGAACUGCAUUCGAAACUGGCAGGCUAGAGGCUUGUAGAGGGGGGUAGAAUUCCAGGUGUAGCGGUGAAAUGCGUAGAGAUCUGGAGGAAUACCGGUGGCGAAGGCGGCCCCCUGGACAAAGACUGACGCUCAGGUGCGAAAGCGUGGGGAGCAAACAGGAUUAGAUACCCGGGUAGUC
rnacentral:rRNA from 1 species